CUGCUCACAUUGCUGUCAUGCUCACCUACAGUGACACUGCGCUGCAUGCCCCAGGAAGCAUCUUCUGGGCUGUGUGGAUGCAGACGUCUUGGGCAAGAUGCUGCUGUUUUCUAGAGCCAGCCAACAGGACUCUCAGCUAAAGCUUGCCUUGGUGCAGAGUAUCACUGAGGUCAGCUGCGCCAUCCAGGCUGUGGGUGAUUGCCCCAGCUUUGGACUCUUCUCAAAGCAGGAGGCCCUGAGGACACUGCUGGUGAGUAGCCAAGAGCCAGGGCCAUUCCACAGAGGAGUUUUGAGGGGUACCAUAAGGCUUGUUUCCACCAAGGCUUACUGGUCUCCCCUAGGUUCAUGGGAGCUCCUGGAGCCAAGUCUCCACCUAGCAAGGCCCUUGUGUGCUGCUGCUCAGUGCCUGUGGCUGUGGAGUAGGGUCCAUCCGGCCCCCAGGCAGGUGCUGCCAUGCCCUCAUGUGCCCUUCUGGAAGCCACAGAGGUGAUAUGACCAAUGUGUGUACAGAUUUGGUAGAAGAAUGGGUCCCAGGGGAUGCAGGG
rnacentral:lncRNA from 1 species